UACGUAGGCAGCAAGCGUUGUUCGGAAUUACUGGGCGUAAAGAGUGUGUAGGCGGUGCUCUAAGUCUGUUGUGAAAUAUCCCGGCUUAACCGGGAGGGUGGCAUUGAUACUGUAGGACUUGAGUAAAGUUGAGGUUGGCGGAAUUGACGGUGUAGCGGUGAAAUGCUUAGAUAUCGUCAAGAACACCGAUAGUGUAGACAGCUAACUAAGCUUUAACUGACGCUGAGGCACGAAAGUGUGGGGAUCAAACAGG
rnacentral:rRNA from 1 species